rnacentral:rRNA from 1 species
AUUGAACGCUGGCGGCAGGCCUAACACAUGCAAGUCGAAUGGUAACAGGAAACAGCUUGCUGUUUCGCUGACGAGUGGCGGACGGGUGAGUAAUGUCUGGGAAACUGCCUGAUGGAGGGGGAUAACUACUGGAAACGGUAGCUAAUACCGCAUAACGUCGCAAGACCAAAGAGGGGGACCUUCGGGCCUCUUGCCAUCAGAUGUGCCCAGAUGGGAUUAGCUAGUAGGUGGGGUAACGGCUCACCUAGGCGACGACCCCUAGCUGGUCUGAGAGGAUGACCAGCCACACUGGAACUGAGACACGGUCCAGACUCCUACGGGAGGCAGCAGUGGGGAAUAUUGCACAAUGGGCGCAAGCCUGAUGCAGCCAUGCCGCGUGUAUGAAGAAGGCCUUCGGGUUGUAAAGUACUUUCAGCGGGGAGGAAGGGAGUAAAGUUAAUACCUUUGCUCAUUGACGUUACCCGCAGAAGAAGCACCGGCUAACUCCGUG